UGGGGAAUUUUGGACAAUGGGCGAAAGCCUGAUCCAGCAAUGCCGCGUGUGUGAAGAAGGCCUUCGGGUUGUAAAGCACUUUUGUCCGGAAAGAAAUCCUUGGCUCUAAUACAGUCGGGGGAUGACGGUACCGGAAGAAUAAGCACCGGCUAACUACGUGCCAGCAGCCGCGGUAAUACGUAGGGUGCAAGCGUUAAUCGGAAUUACUGGGCGUAAAGCGUGCGCAGGCGGUUUGCUAAGACCGAUGUGAAAUCCCCGGGCUCAACCUGGGAACUGCAUUGGUGACUGGCAGGCUAGAGUAUGGCAGAGGGGGGUAGAAUUCCACGUGUAGCAGUGAAAUGCGUAGAGAUGUGGAGGAAUACCGAUGGCGAAGGCAGCCCCUGGGCCAAUACUGACGCUCAUGCACGAAAGCGUGGGGAGCAAAACAGGAUUAGAUACCCUGGUAGUCCACGCCCUAAACGAUGUCAACUAGUUGUUGGGGAUUCAUUUCCUUAGUAACGUAGCUAACGCGUGAAGUUGACCGCCUGGGGAGUACGGUCGCAAGAUUAAAACUCAAAGGAAUUGACGGGGUCAUAGCUG
rnacentral:rRNA from 1 species